UUCCUCUCGACCUCCUUAUAUGCUUCUUCGGGGCUAGGGUUUCCUCUUGCCUUCUGGGGUCUACCUUCCUCUCUCUCCCAGUCAUGCUCCAAUACCUCUGUUCUCCUUGUGAGGAAUAUUCCCCUCAUGCAAACGACGUGACAGAACGUGAUAGAGUCUUUGUACUCCCUACCUGGCAGGCGACGUGUGUCCUCGCCCUACUGAGCCGUAUGAUUUGGCUGUAUCAAAGAUCAUCGUACAUGCUUACACGGUAAUCGAUCAAAUCCACGGGAAAAAGAAAACUGAGAAUAACAGAUUAACAGGGGAAGUCGUCACGUACCUAUCGGAAAAUUAAAUUUGCAAACCUGGUGAUGAGAUCGAAGAGAGAAGAAAAGGGGAAAUGGUGAAGGAAGAGAAGCCAUCACUUACCUGUUUCAUUUUUAUUUGGAUUAGCUUUUUUUUUUCUACCCUGUCUCCGUGUGAUCUUAAUUUCUGUACGAUAUUGACGCAUCGGAUUUGAUUUCCGCUCUUUGCUGUCCGUUUUCUGCUGGUGUAUGAUUAGAUUGAUGGGUUUUGUUGGGUUUUCUUGUGGAUCUGGAAACUAUGGAUUUAUGUGUUUUUCCCACUUUUUCACUUCUCUUUUUUGGUUGUCAUAUUUUUUUUUGGUUUCCUUUCUCAUGAGGAGAUGGUUUGGUGAGAUUUAUUCGAUUCAAUCUUUGUUAGGAUGAGCCCUUUGGAAAUUUGUCAUGGGUGGGGUGUUUAGUUAUCUAUUUGGGUUUCUGCUACUCUUGUUCUUGGCGAGGUUUUAACUUGCGGCGCUGUUUCUGGAGAGUUAUACCGGCGUCUUGAUUCCUCAGCUACUCAUUUGAUGAAUUUCUCGAUGUCUUCAGCGGUCGGCGGUCAGCAUGACCUUCCGAAGGAGUUUGUUCUUCAGUUGUAGUAGACGAAGAUGGUUACUUAGGAUAGUCAGACAAACAUGAACCUUAGAAAGUAACAGGCAGAGACGCUACGGGAGAACCGCCUAGGAUGGCGUAAGAGACUCGAUCAUCUCUUUCUUCAAUGUGGGUACAUUUGUCUUCGGUGAAGAGUUCAGAGAGGAGAUGUUCCGACGGCGUUGAGUAGCCGGAUCCCUGUCCAUCCUUCAAAGUCUCAAGGGUUAGAGGGUUGAGUUAGUUCGGGUUUGAUCCAGGUAGAGGGGUUUGAUGGGUUAAAAUGGAUUUGUAUAAUCCAAAAGAUCCACAGCCGUUGAAUUGAUUUUUGUACACAUGUCUCUGGGAGGGAAUUGGACAAGAAUGGGAGAUGAAGAACUGGAGACGAGCCAAAUUUGUCUAUUCCACUCCCAUAAUGGAAAGAACUAAGAGUUUCUUAUUCAUAGUGGGUCUAUAACUACUUGGGUCCAAUGGAUCAA